GACGAACGCUGGCGGCGUGCUUAACACAUGCAAGUCGAACGGAAAGGCCCUGCUUUUGUGGGGUUCUCGAGUGGCGAACGGGUGAGUAACACGUGAGUAACCUGCACUUGACUUUGUGAUAACUUCAGGAAACUGGGGCUCAUACCGGGUAGGAGCUCCUGCUGCAUGGUGGGGGUUGGAGAGUUUCGGCGGUUGGGGAUGGACUCGCGGCUUAUCAGCUUGUUGGUGGGGUAGUGGCUUACCAAGGCUGUGACGGGUAGCCGGCCUGAGAGGGUGACCGGCCACAUUGGGACUGAGAGACGGCCCAGACUGCUACGGGAGGCAGCAGUGGGGAAUAUUGCACAAUGGGCGGAAGCCUGAGGCAGCAACGCCGCGUGCGGGAUGACGGCCUUCGGGUUGUAAACCGCUUUCGCCUGUGACGAAGCGUGAGUGACGGUAAUGGGUAAAGAAGCACCGGCUAACUACGUG
rnacentral:rRNA from 1 species